GAUGAAGAACGCAGUGAAAUGCGAUAAGUAAUGUGAAUUGCAGAAUUCAGUGAAUCAUCGAAUCUUUGAACGCACAUUGCGCCCGGCAGCAAUCUGCCGGGCAUGCCUGUCCGAGCGUCAUUUCUGCCCUCGAGCGCGGUUCGGCCCCCUCCCGGGGGGGCCGCGCCGCCGCCCGGUGUUGGGGCGCUGCGGGGCCCUAUCGUCUGGCCCCGCAGGCCCUGAAAUGAAGUGGCGGUCCCGCCGCGGCGCCCCCUGCGUAGUAAAGAGCAACCCUCACACCUCGCAUCGGGUCCCGGCGAUGGCCAGCCGUCGAACCUCAAACUUGCUGAUGGUUUGACCUCGGAUCAGGUAGGGCUACCCGCUGAACUUAAGCAUAUCAAUAAGCGGAGGA
rnacentral:misc_RNA from 1 species